UUCCAGAGAUGGGAAUUGAAUCCACAGUGUUCCGCUUACCGGGCAGAUGCCAUGUCCACUAGGUUACCUUGGA
rnacentral:tRNA from 1 species